rnacentral:tRNA from 1 species
CCCUGUAGCUCAGUUGGUAGAGCACGGUGUUUGCAACGCCAGGGUUGUGGGUUCAAUUCCCACAGGGG